rnacentral:lncRNA from 1 species
CUUGGCCACAGGCCGGGUGCUCUGUGGGGCCUACCCUACGCCUCUCCGCCGUCCUCCCCCGAACUGGUGGUUACGCGGGCCGCGAGUUACCGUGAGCACGGCUGGGAUGCUGACGGGGAAAGAGCUGACAGAGAAGGCGGACGGCAUGGUGUUGGGAAGCCCGCUCUCACAGCAACCGCCGAACCCGGCCUGGCCAGAAUCCACAGAGGAGGGCGCCAAAUCCUCUCUCGUGAGAUCUGCCCUUCUCACGAAACUUGCGCUUGCUUCCUCUCGCGGUAAUUUCAUGGCAUUGCUAGGUCCAGAUAUCGCGAUAUUUCCUGGUGGUCGCUGUAAUACGGAAAACUUACUACGCUGCUGUGGGACUUGUGCUCGCUCCGCCAGGAGGCCGAGGGCGUCUUUAGUUCGUUAACAGAGGAGCAGGCGGAGGCGGGUGGAAUUUAGGAGGUUUGUUUCAAAGGCUCAGGGCGCUGUACCGCCACGCCAGCCCUGUCCCACCUGGGACUCCCUAGAAGGGUCAGAGCAUCAAUGAGGACGGUGUCCGCCCCGAGACCCUGCAGGAGCCGGGGACAUUGCCCACUCCUCGGACCCUGCAGGACUUGGGAAGGUGUCUGCUCUCGCGACCCUAAGGGCAGUGCACUCUUAGUCUGGGUCAGCUUAGGGUUAUCUGUCUUCACUUUGGAGAUUUACCAGAUGUUCUUACGCUUCACUUCGUUGUUCAACGACAGAUACAAAAAUAUAAAGUUAAUUUUCUUCCAGCGAAUUUUUUCCCUUUAUUUUAACAUCUAUACCCCAACUUUGACAUUUUCAAAUUAAACAUUCUGUUAUUUUAACAUCAUGAAUUAUUAAGUGUAUAUACUUUAAUUGCAUAUGUUAGCUCUUGAACUAGUUUAAUGUUUCUAAAAAUAGUUCUAGUGGUGGACUUUUUUUUUUUUUUAAUAGCUUUAACCCCUCCCAGAUCUUUCUUAAAAUCUUUCCACAGUGUGGUCAUUUCUGCUUAUGCUACUUAACAUGCAUUCUCUCAUUUCAGUGUAGAAGGUCAUGGUUUCUUCUUAUGGGAAAACAUUUCUUUCAUUGAUAUUUUUCUCUAUUCUUCCUGUAUUCAACUCCAGGAACAUCCCGUUAGGUAGAUAGUGCAUCUUCCUCUCUUUUGUGUUUCUCAACCUUCCUCUCAAAACAUCACGACUGUUGUUGCUGAGUUUGGGAAAUCUCGGGCUUGGCUUUCCUGGUUUUUUUUUUUUUUUUUUAAGACGAUGUCUCGCUCUGUCGCCCAGGCUGGAGCACAAUGGUGGGACCUCGGCUCACUGCAACCUCCGCCUCCUGGGUUCAAGCUAUUCUCCUGCCUCAGCCUCCCGAGUAGCUGGGAUUACAGGUGUUCGCCACCUCACCUGGCUAAUUUUUUUUGUAUUUUUAGUAGAGACGGGGUUUCACCAUGUUGGCCAGGCUAGUUUUGAACUCCUGACCUCAAGUGAUUUACCCGCCUGGGCCUCCCAAAGUGCUGGGAUUACAGGCAUGAGCCACCGCACCCAGCUGGUGUGAUGGUUUUCAUCUGUGUCCAUUCUCACUCCCCUGUGUUUGUUCAGCUAUUUUCAACAGGACCUUUCAGUUACAGGGAAUAGAUCUGUCCUCUUCAGUUCAGCCUGUUACUGUGUAUCUCCCUGAUGAUAUUUCGUUACUAUGUGAAACAUCACUCUUAUUAAUUUCCAUGGGUUAGUUUCAUCGUCAGUCCUGUCUGGUGCCUGCCUUUCUUUUGUGGUGUCUGUUUUCUUGUAACUUCUGUAAUUUGGGGUCAAACUCUUUUUGCUAUUAAUAUUAACCACAGCCUAUCUACGGUCACUGGGAUUUUUUCUCUUCAUCUUCCCCUCAGCCGCCCUCCCAGAUCUUUCAUAUAUUGUGCGCCCUGGCACCCAAGUUUCCAAAAUUGUUAAAACUCUGGCCCUCAGCAGCUUCACUUUCAGUCCCAGGACAUUCAUCUUCCACAUUCCUCCCGCCCUGCCGUUCUGAACAACGCUAGGCUGCCGGACAUUUAGACGUGAAGCUUGUGCAAUGUCGCCAGUCUGAGAUGUGCUUUAAUUUCAAACAUACACCAUCUUUCAAAGACUUUGUACCAAAAUGUAAAAUACAUUAUCAACAAUUGUAUUAUUUUGCUUACAUGUUGAAAUUAUAUUUUGGACAUACUGGACCAAAUAAAAUAUAUCAAUAAAAUUAAUCUCUUUCUCUUUGCUAUUUUAAUGUGGCCAGUAGAACAUGGCCUGCUCUCUCUGUUGGUAUGUGAAUGCUGACAUGGACUCUAUUCCAUUUACCUGGAAUUUUGUGCUUCCAGAAAAGACUGGAUGAAGCC